rnacentral:rRNA from 1 species
UACGUAGGUGGCAAGCGUUGUCCGGAAUUAUUGGGCGUAAAGGGCUCGCAGGCGGUCUUCUAAGUCUGAUGUGAAAUCUUGCGGCUUAACCGCAAGCGGUCAUUGGAAACUGGAGGACUUGAGUACAGAAGAGGAGAGUGGAAUUCCACGUGUAGCGGUGAAAUGCGUAGAGAUGUGGAGGAACACCAGUGGCGAAGGCGACUCUCUGGUCUGUAACUGACGCUGAGGAGCGAAAGCGUGGGGAGCAAACAGG